UUGGAGGGCAAGUCUGGUGCCCGCAGCCGCGGUAAUUCCAGCUCCAAUAGCGUAUAUUAAAGUUGCUGCAGUUAAAAAGCUCGUAGUUGAAUUUCGGGACCAUCAUGUCGGUCGUGCCUAGGUACGUACUGGCAUUGUUGGUUUCUCCCUUCUGACGAACCACGAUGUCAUUUAUUUGGUGUUGUGGGGAAUCAGGACUGUUACUUUGAAAAAAUUAGAGUGUUUAAAGCAGGCUCACGCUUGAAUACAUUAGCAUGGAAUAAUGAAAUAGGACGUUUGAUUCUAUUUUGUUGGUUUCUAGGAUCGACGUAAUGAUUAAUAGGGAUAGUUGGGGGCAUUAGUAUUCAAUUGUCAGAGGUGAAAUUCUUGGAUUUAUUGAAGACUAACUACUGCGAAAGCAUUUGCCAAGGAUGUUUUCAUUAAUCAAGAACGAAAGUUAGGGGAUCGAAGACGAUCAGAUACCGUCGUAGUCUUAACCAUAAACUAUGCCGACUAGGGAUCGGAUGAUGUUAAUUUUUUAAUGACUCAUUCGGCGCCUUACGGGAAAC
rnacentral:rRNA from 1 species